GGCCUACUCGUCAAGUUGGUUAAGACAUAACAUUUUCACUGUUGGAAGGGAAGUUCGAUUCUUCCGUAGGCUA